AGUGAACGCUGGCGGUAGGCCUAACACAUGCAAGUCGAACGGCAGCACAGUAAGAGCUUGCUCUUACGGGUGGCGAGUGGCGGACGGGUGAGGAAUACAUCGGAAUCUACUUUUUCGUGGGGGAUAACGUAGGGAAACUUACGCUAAUACCGCAUACGACCUACGGGUGAAAGCAGGGGAUCUUCGACCUUGCGCGAUUGAAUGAGCCGAUGUCGGAUUAGCUAGUUGGCGGGGUAAAGGCCCACCAAGGCGACGAUCCGUAGCUGGUCUGAGAGGAUGAUCAGCCACACUGGAACUGAGACACGGUCCAGACUCCUACGGGAGGCAGCAGUGGGGAAUAUUGGACAAUGGGCGCAAGCCUGAUCCAGCCAUACCGCGUGGGUGAAGAAGGCCUUCGGGUUGUAAAGCCCUUUUGUUGGGAAAGAAAAGCAGCAGGUUAAUACCCCGCUGUUCUGACGGUACCCAAAGAAUAAGCACCGGCUAACUUCGUG
rnacentral:rRNA from 1 species